rnacentral:lncRNA from 1 species
ACCUUAAGCUGCCUCUGUGUCGCCUUUGAGAUUCCAGUGAAGCCCUAUCUGGACAUGAAAAAGCUUGCUGGGAAAUGGCACCCCAUUCUAAGGGCAAAGUACGACCCUACAGACCAGCCGUUCUAUACCUACACCAUGAGUCCUCUCAACGACGGGAAUGUGAUUCUCAAAGUGGAAGUUCCUCGAGUGAGGGCCUGCCGGCUAAAUUUCGUGGCUUUGUACGCUAUCCAGCCUGGCGUCUUUGAAAAUGCAGACGGCAAGCUGACGGUACAUCUUGUGGACACAGAUUAUGACAACUAUCAUAUCAGUCAUACCGAAAGGGAUAACAUGGCCUUCAUGAAUCUCUAUGGCCGGGAAAAAGAGGUGUCGGAAGAAGUGACCAAAAAGUUUCUGGAUAUGGCCCAGAAAGUGAUGCUCAACCCGAUGCUGCUGUUCUAUCAACACAAGACUGAUCUCUGCCUAAGUCCGCCACAGAAAGCAUAAGUAAAAUUCCUGCAAAGGGAGAGUGGGGGGAUGUUAGUGAAAUGAACAUUUCCCUAAAACCCACUGCCAGUUUUAUAACCGGUCGGACAUGGUGAUAAUGUCCUUUUCAGCAGUAAUAAAAUGUAUACCGUUCAGAUGUGUGGGUGUCUU